GGAGCGUGCAGUGAGCCGAGAUAGCACCACUGCAGUCUGGCCUGGGGUGAAAGAGCCAGACUCCAUCUCAAAAAAAAAAAAAAAAAAAGAAUUAUAAUUAAAAAUUAGAGAUGGUAGAGCAACAGAGCUAGAUAGUUAAACCAGAAAUGAAUUUAAGCCAAUUAGAUGUUGUGAUGCACACAAUUGUUACAAUGCCAGAAGAAACAGCCUCCAAAAUAAGCUUUCAGAAUUCCCAGAACACAAAACUCACAGACCCAGUCUGCCAUGAAAUCUUCUGCAUCUGCCAUGGCCAGGAAAAGCUGCAAUCACAACUGUGGCCUCACAGACCACCUUAGUAUUCACAUCAGCAAAACAGAUGCAGAAACCCUAGCACUUAACACCUUUGAAGAUAAAAUCUAGCCUUGAAGGUAAAAUUUAAUGAGACCUAAGUUAAAGCUCACGCUGACAAACACAAAUGUCACCAGCAUCAUUGAUUUCAAGAGAAAAAGCAGAAGCAGCCUGCAUCAACUAUGCUCAUUUUCCCCUUUCAAUUCUCAGGCAUAAAUAUAUGCUUAGCAGAAGUUAUGUCACAGGAAAGUUUUGAGAGACUCUGGAAAAUAUAUCUAGCUUUCUAAAUGAAAUUGCACUAGAGCAUACUAAAGGAGCUUUGGAGACAGUGGGGUAACAUGAUCUUUAUUCCCACAGUACUUUGCAACCAUUGGCCAAUUGGAGUCCCCCCUCCCCACACACAAUUUUCUUCUAAAUUUUCAACUAUAAAUGAACGGUAGCCAUAUUCUCCAACCUAAGAUAAUAUGACCAUACUUAAUAUGAUAAGACUGCUUACUUCCUUCUCUAAAUAAUCAUUAGUCAUUGAAACCAGUUUGACAAGUGUUUAUUUCUCCUCUAUCUCAGUCUAACUAUCUUGUAAUCAAAGAAUGGAAUAUUAAGUUACAUAUUGUACUACCAACAUGCCUCUUAUAAAAUUACAGAGGAAAAAAUUUACACACACAUACACACACACAGAGAGAGACAACAUGUUAUUAAAAGAGUAUGGGUUAAUUCUAUAGCUUUCAUUUAUUGACCUUGUCAUGAAACUAACUGUAUUUGGUAUAUGUAAUUUUUUAAUUGUUCAUUGUAUGUUUUCUUGUCCUUCACCAAUCCCUUAGCUUGUCAUGGUGCUUUUACUGAUGAUGUAACCUGAAAAAUUUUCAAAGAAUUAGAAUCCUUUCAGGUCUUCCCUGCAUGAGGUUCAUAUAAUCAGCUACUAUAUUUUAUCCCUGGACAUACUUACACUGUACUAGGAAGCUCCUAAUGAAUUUCCUGUGUUUCAGAUAUAUUUCUAUACCAACAUUGUAUAAUACCAACCAUAUUUUUCAUUGGAAAUCAGGGGAUCCUACAAAUGUGUCUUUACCAGUAAAUUGCCUUUGCCAUUACCCAAAGAUGGCUACAUGUCUCUCAAAACUAUUGACUCAUAACUGUAGCCAUAGCAGCUGAGGAACAAUCCAUAUCCAUAAAAUAUAUGCAUGAUGUUAUGCUUUUUGGUACUCACAAAACUAGGGACUAGACAUUAAAUCUCUUUCACAUCUGUCACAGUUAAAUAAAACCACAUAAAGAAGUAGUGGAAGUGGGGAAGGGAGAAGGAAGAGACUUUGGUCAAAGGAUACCCAAUUUCAGUUAGAUAAAAGGAUAUAAGUUCAAGAGUUCUCUUAUAUAACAUAGUAUGUGUAGUUAAUAGCAAACACCAUAUUCUUACAAAUUGCUAAGAAAAUAGAUUUUAAGUGCUCUCACUACAAAAAAAUCGUAAGUAUGUCAGGUUAUGUAUGUUAAUUAGCUCAAUUCACCAAUUUUGCAGUAUAUCUAUAUAUAUAUAUAAAACAACAUGUUUUCAAUUUUUUUAUUUGUUGAACUUAUAGAAAACAACAGCAGCCCAAUGGAAGACCAGUCUGACUGUUAAAAGAAAAACAAACAAAUAGAAAACAGCAACAACAACAAAAAGGACCCCACAAAAACCCCAUUCAGAGGUCAGCAACCUCAAAGAAUGAAGGCAGAUAAGCCCACAAAGAUGAGAAAGGAUCAAUGCAACAAUGCAGAAAACUCAUAAGGCAAUGAUGCAGAAAACUCAAAAAGCAGCAAUGUAGAAAACUCGAAGAGCUCCCCCAAAUGACUGCAACACCUCUCCAGCAAGGGCAUAAAACCAAGCUGAGGCUGAAAUGGCUGAAUUGACAAAAGUAGGCUCCAUAAUAUGAGUAAUAAUGAACUUUGCUGAGCUAAAGGAACAUGUUGUAACCCAAUGAAAAGAAGCUAAAAAUCAUGAUAAACAAUAGGGGAACUGAUAGCCAAAAUAGCCAGUUUAGAGAGAAACCCAGCUGAGCUAUUAGAGCUGAAAAAACACAACAAAAGAACUUCACAAUGCAAUCACAAGUAUCAAUAGCAGAAUAAACCAAGUGGAAGAAAGAAACUGAGUUUGAAGACUAUCUUUCUGAAAUAAGACUGGCAGACAAAAAUAGAGAAAAAAGAAUGAAAAGGAAUGAACAAAACUUCCAAGAAAUAUGGGACUAUGUAAAGAGACCAAACCUACGACUGAUUGGGGUACCUGAAAGAGAUGGGGAGAAUGGAACCAAUUGGAAAAUAUACUUCAGGAUACCAUCCAGGAGAACUUCCCCAACCUAGCAAGACUGGCCAACAUUCAAAUUCAGAAACUGCUGAGAACCCCCAGUAAGAUACUCCACAAAAACAUCAACCCCAAGACACACAAUUAUUAGAUUCUCCAAAGUCAAAAUGACAGAAAAAACAAAAACAAAAAAAACAUUAAGGGCAGCCAGAGAGAAAGACCAGGUCACCUACAAAGGGAAGCCCAUCAGACUCACAGCAGACCUCUCAGCAGAAACCCUGCAAGCCAGAAAAGAUUGGGGGCCAAUAUUCGACAUUCUUAAAGAAAAGAAUUUCCAAUCCAGAAUUUCAUAUCCAGCCAAACCGAGCUUCAUAAGCAAGAGAGAAAUAAUAUCCUUUUCAGACAAGCAAAUCCUGAGGGAAUUCAUCACCACCAGGCCUGCCUUGCAAGAGCUCUGAAGGAAGGACUAAAUAUGGAAAGGAUAAACCAUUACGAGCCACUAAAAAAGCACACUGAAGUACACAGAUCAGUGAAACUAUGAAGCAUCCAUAUAACCAGCUAGCAUCAUGAUGACAGGAUCAAAUCACACAGAUCAACAUUACCCUUAAAUGUAAGUGGGUAAAUGCCCCAAUUAAAAGACACAAAUGGCAAGCUGGAUAAAGAGUCAAGAUCCAUUGGUGUGCUGUCUUUAGGAGACCCAUCUCACAUGCAAAGACACACAUAGGCUCAAAAUGGAGGGAUAGCGAAAAUUUACCAAGCAAAUAGAAAACAGAAGAAAAGCAGGGUUUGCAAUCCUAGUUUCUGACAAUCAGACUUUAAAGACAAAGCCCACAUGAUUGUCUCAAUAGAUGCAGAAAAAGCCUUGGAGAAAAUUCAACAUCCCUUCAUGUUAAAAACUCUCAAUAAACUAGGUAUUAAAGAUACAUAACUUAAAAUAAUAAGAGCCAUAUAUGACAAACCCACAGGCAAUAUCAUACUGAAUGGCAAAAGCUGGAAGCAUUUCCCUUGAAAAGCAGCACAAGACAAGGAUGACUUCUCCCACCACUCUUAUUCAACAUAGAAUUGGAAAUUCUGGAUGGGGUAAUCAGGCAAAAGAAAGAAAUAAAGCGUAUUCAGAUAGAAAGAGAGGAAGUCAAAUUAUCUUUGUUUGCAGACAACAUGAUCCUAUAUCUAGAAAAUUUCAAAGUCUCAGCCCUAAAGCUUCUUCAACUGAUAAGCAGCUUUAGCAAAGUCUCAGGUUAGAAAAUCAAUGUGCAAAAAACAAAUCAUGAAUGAACUCCCAUUCACAAUUGUUGCAAAAAGAAUAAAUACCUACAAAUACAGCUAACAACAAAAGUGAAGGACCUCUUCAAUGAGAUCUACAAACCACUGCUUAAAGAAAUCAGAGAAAAUAGAAACAAAUGAGAAACAUUACAUGCUCAUGGAUAGGAAGAAUAAAUAUUGUGAACAUGGCCAUACAGUCCAAAGCAAUUUAUAGAUUCAAUGCUAUUCUCAUUAAGUUGCCAUUGACAUUCUUCACAGAAUUAGAAAGAGUAUUUUAAAAUUCAUGUGGAAUCAAAAAAGAGCCCACAUAGCAAAGAAAAUCCUAAGCAAAAAGAACAAAGCUAGAGGCAUCAUGCUGCCCAACUUCAAACAGUACUACAAGGCUGCAGUAACCAAAACAGCAUGAUACUGGUACAAAAACAGACAUAUAAACCAAUGGAACACUAUAGAGAAUUCAGAAAUAAGGCUGCACACCUAAAACCAUCUGAUCUUUGACAGACCUGGCCAAAACAAGCUAUGGGGAAUGGAUUCCCUAUUUAAUAAAUGAUGUUGGGACAACUGGUUAGUCAUAUGCAGAAAAUUGAAAUUGGACCCCUUCAUAGCAUAGACAAAAAUUAACUCAAGAUGGAUUAAAGACUUAAAUGUAAUACCUAAAACUAGGAAAACCCUAGAAGAAAAUCUGGGCAAUACCAUUCAGGACAUAGGCAUGGGCAAAAAUUUCAUUAUGAAAAUGUAAAAGCAAUUGCAGCGAAAGCAAAAAUAGAUAAAUGAGAUCUAAUGAAACUAAAGAACUUCUGCACAGCAUAAGAAACUAUCAUCAGAGUGAAUGACAUCCUGCAGAGUGGGAGAAAAUUUUUUGCAAUCUAUCCAUCUGACAAAGAUCUAAUAUCCAGAGUCUACAAGGAACUUAAGCAAAUUUAAAGAAAAAAAACUCAUUAAAAAGUGGGCAAAGGACAUGAACAGACACUUCUCAAAAGAAGACAUACAUGUGGCUAAUGAACAUAUAUAAAAAGCUUAACAUCACUGAUCAUUAGAGAAAUGCAAAUCAAAACCACAGUGAGGUACCAUCUCACACCAGUCCGAAUGGUGAGUAUUAAAAAGUCAAGAAACAACAGAUGCAGGUGAGGCUGUGGAGAAAUAGGAACACUUUUACACUGUUGGUGGGAAUAUAAAUUAGUGCAACCGUUGUGUUAGACAGUGUGGCAAUUCCUCCUAGACCUAGAACAGAAAUAUCAUUUGAUGCAGUAAUGCCAUAACUGGGUGUAUACCCAAAGGAACAUAAAGUGUAGUAUUAUAUUAUAUUUAUAUUAUAAAGAUGCAUGCACAUGUAUACUUAUUGCAGCACUAUUCACAAUACAAAAGAUACAGAAUCAACCUAAGUGCCCAAAGUGCGGUAUAAAUACACCAUGGAACAUAAUGCAGCCAUUAAAAGGAAUAAGAUCAUGUCCUUUGCGGGAACAUGGAUGGAGUUGUAGGCCAUUAUCUUCAGCAAACUAAUGCAGGAACAGAAAACCAAACACCGCAUGUUCUCACUUAUAAGUGGGAGCUGAAUGAUGAGAAUGCUUGGACACAGAGAGGAGAACAACACACAGUGGGUCUCGUUGAAGGGGAGGCGUGGGGGAAGGAAGAGCAUCAGGGAGAAUAGCUAAUGGACUCUGGGCUUAAUACCUAGGCGAUGGGAUAAUUUGUGCAGCAAACCAACAUGGCACACAUUUACCUAUGUAACAAAUCUGCACAUCCUGUACAUGUAUCCCUGAACUUAAAAUAAAAUUGAAGAAAAAAGAGAAGCCUUGGAAGUAGAAGAAUCAUAGUCUCCAACUAAGCUUGUUUAAUUAAUGUCACUUUUCAAACCCCAUGCAUGUAUGAAUGUAUGGUAUAAUAUUAAAGAAACCAAGCAGUAAUGAAGGCUAAGAAAUGUCAUUCCUAGCACUUCCUCCAGAAAAUAUGGAGUAGACACACCACAAAGGGUUGGAAAAAAACAAGGAAUGAGAAUUAGGAGGACAAACAAAGUCUUCUAUGGUGAAUGAGUAAAGAAAAACAAAAUUUCAAAAGUCGCUCAAAUCAUAAAGUUCUAAGAAGAAAAGAUGAAAACAUGAGUGUAGCAGAGACUGCUAGUUUUAGCCCAAUAUCCAUUCAUUUUUGCCAGUGAAACUCUGUGAAUUUUAGAUGGACUUGUGACCACCUUUCGGGAUACUGUAUUUUUUGAAUUGCCUCAAAGGACAAUGUGACCAUGUGACUGUAUUUUGGUCAACAGUAGAGGGAUAGAAUAUGUUAUUGCAAAGAGGCUUUUCUUCACCUUCUCGCAGGCUGGAACAUGAACACAGAGAGGUGAUCCAGAUUUGAUCACCUGAAUGAAGACAACAGCAAGGAAAUGGUAGGAUAAUAAAUAAGGAGAAAUCUAGCUUUAUGGACAACUUCAUAAAGCUGACCCUGGAACAUUGACUACCUCUGAACUUACAUGAGGGAGAGAAAUGUUUAUCUUUUAUAAACCUAUUACUUUUUUGAUUUCUACAUUAAAGAAACUUAGUCUAUCCUAAGUAAAGCAAGAAAUAUUCUGUAAAUCACUUUGGAGAAGAAUUUCCAAAAGGAAAGAGAUCAAUUCUCCCUGUUUCCUGUGCUGGUCCCAAACUUCUUGGCUCAAGUGAUCCUCCUGCCUCAAUCUCCUAAGAAGCUGGGACUAUAGGCAUACUGUGCACUUCUUGAUGUAAUUAUUUUCAGUGAUUGUGUGUGUGUUCACAAUAUGAUUUUUAGUGUAAUAUUUUAUUAUAAUCAUUCUCCAUUUUAUUUGCUCUCAACCAGUAUUGUAGACAUAAUUCUAUGAUUGCCUCAAAGAGUCCACUUCCUGGUGCAUGGUCCCUAUGUAAUUACUGGAAUUUGACAAUACAAUGGGCUGGUCACACCAGCCAUUAGGUUAUGUUAUAUGGUAUAGGGACUUUAAGAAAGGGAGGUUAUUUUGGGUACACCUGAACUCUCAGGUGAGCCUUCAAAAGGCUCUUCCUAGAGAAGAACCUCAAAGCAUAAGAGAGAUUACAUGAUGAAGAUUCUGCAUUGCUGGCUUUGAAGAUGGAGGGGCCACAUGAGAAGGAAUGGGACCAGUCUGUAGAAUUCAAUAAUGACCCUCAGCUGCUAGCCUGCAAGUAACUGGAAACCUCAAUUCUACAACUGCAAGGAACUGAAUUUGGCCAAUGAUCUGAAUGAGCUGGAGAAAAAAUAAUUCCUUUGAGUCUUCAAAAAUAAAUAAUAUCUGGUGGACAACUUGAUUUUAGCCUUGUAAGACUGUCAUCAAAGAACUCAGCUGUACUUUUCUUUAGACAUCUGGUUCGCAGAACUCAUCCUAAUAAAUGGAUGUUGUUUUAAGCCAUGUAAGCCUCCACGUUUGUGAAAUUUGUUAGAAAGCAAUGGAAAACUAAUACAACUAGUAUUUUUACACUGGAUCUUGUUAACCUGAAAUUAAUUUCAAAUUUCAUUAUAUGCUUAUUGGGCAUGCUAAGAAGAUGAUCAUGUCGUUAAAUAUUCUAGUGAAUAGAUGUCGCUCUUUCCUGUUUUCUCAAAUCACAUUUUAAAAUUAUCAUAAUCACAUUAAUGAGA
rnacentral:lncRNA from 1 species